CCUACGGGAGGCUGCAGUAGGGAAUAUUGCUCAAUGGGGUUAACCCUGAAGCAGCAACGUCGCGUGGAGGAUGAAGGUUCUAUGAUUUUUAACUCUCUUUUUUAGAGAAGAUAAUGACGGUAUCUCACGAAUAAGCAACGGCUAACUCCGUGCCAGCAGCCGCGGUAAUACGGAGGGUGCACGCGUUACUCGGAAUCACUGGGCGUAAAGAGUGCGCAGGCGGGCUUGUAAGUCAGAUGUGAAAUCCUGUAGCUUAACUACAGAACUGCAUUUGAAACUAUGAGUCUAGAGUGUGGGAGAGGUAGGUGGAAUUCGUGGUGUAGGGGUAAAAUCCGUAGAUAUCACGAAGAAUACUCAUUGCGAAGGCGACAUACUGGAACAUUACUGACGCUCAUGCACGAAAGCGUGGGGAGCAAACAGGAUUAGAUACCCGGGUAGUC
rnacentral:rRNA from 1 species